GAACAUGACCAGGAACAGCAAGAGGCCGAUGUUGAACAAGGCAGGCAAAGACAUCAUUAAGGCAAAAAGCAAGGUGCGGAUCCCUUUGGCUCCUUUGAUCAAACGCAGGAUACGUCCAAUACGAGCCAGGCGGAUGACUCGGAAGAGAGUGGGGGAUACAAAAUACUUCUCGAUGAUUUCAGCCAGGAACAUUCCCACAAUGGACAGAAUCACAACAACGAAGUCAAAGAUGUUCCACCCAAUGGUGAAGUAGUAGUGCCGCAAGGCGAACAUCUUCAGCACACACUCGCAGGUGAAGAAGAUGACGAACACCAGGUU
rnacentral:lncRNA from 1 species